rnacentral:rRNA from 1 species
AGGCAUCUUUUUGUUUUUAAAAGACCUUCUUCGGAGGGUAUGCUUAAAGAGGGGCUUGCGCCACAUUAGUUAGUUGGUGAGGUAAAGGCUUACCAAGAUUAUGAUGUGUAGCUGGACUGAGAGGUUGAACAGCCACAUUGGGACUGAGACACGGCCCAAACUCCUACGGGAGGCAGCAGUAGGGAAUUUUCGGCAAUGGAGGAAACUCUGACCGAGCGACGCCGCGUGAACGAUGAAGUAUUUCGGUAUGUAAAGUUCUUUUAUUGAAGAAGAAAAAAUAGUGGAAAAACUAUAUUGACGUUAUUCAAUGAAUAAGCCCCGGCUAACUAUGUGCCAGCAGCCGCGGUAAGACAUAGGGGGCGAGCGUUAUCCGGAAUUAUUGGGCGUAAAGGGUGCGUAGGCGGUUAGAUAAGUCUAUAAUUUAAUUUCAGUGCUUAACGCUGUCUUGUUAUAGAAACUGUCUUGACUAGAGUGAGAUAGAGGCAAGCGGAAUUCCAUGUGUAGCGGUAAAAUGUGUAAAUAUAUGGAGGAACACCAGAAGCGUAGGCGGCUUGCUGGGUCUUUACUGACGCUGAGGCACGAAAGCGUGGGGAGCAAACAGGAUUAGAUACCCUGGUAGUCCACGCUGUAAACGAUGAGUACUAAGUGUCGGGGAAACUCGGUACUGAAGUUAACACAUUAAGUACUCCGCCUGAGUAGUACGUACGCAAGUAUGAAACUUAAAGGAAUUGACGGGACUCCGCACAAGCGGUGGAUCAUGUUGUUUAAUUCGAAGAUACACGAAAAACCUUACCAGGUCUUGACAUACUCUGCAAAGCUAUAGAAAUAUAGUGGAGGUUAUCAGGGAUACAGGUGGUGCAUGGUUGUCGUCAGUUCGUGUCGUGAGAUGUUAGGUUAAGUCCUAAAACGAACGCAACCCCUGUCGUUAGUUGCCAGCACGUAAUGGUGGGGACUUUAGCGAGACUGCCAAUUAAACAUUGGAGGAAGGUGGGGAUAACGUCAAAUCAUCAUGCCCCUUAUGAUCUGGGCUACAAACGUGAUACAAUGGCUAUUACAAAGAGUAGCUGAAACGCGAGUUUUUAGCCAAUCUCAAAAAGGUAGUCUCAGUACGGAUUGAAGUCUGCAACUCGACUUCAUGAAGCUGGAAUCGCUAGUAAUCGCGAAUCAGCAUGUCGCGGUGAAUACGUUCUCGGGG